UACGAAGGGGGCUAGCGUUGCUCGGAAUCACUGGGCGUAAAGCGCACGUAGGCGGCUUUCUAAGUCAGGGGUGAAAUCCUGGAGCUCAACUCCAGAACUGCCUUUGAUACUGGGGAGCUCGAGUCCGGAAGAGGUGAGUGGAACUCCGAGUGUAGAGGUGAAAUUCGUAGAUAUUCGGAAGAACACCAGUGGCGAAGGCGACUUUCUGGACUGUAACUGACGCUGAGGCUCGAAAGCGUGGGGAGCAAACAGGGA
rnacentral:rRNA from 1 species